rnacentral:tRNA from 1 species
GUUAAUAUAGUUUAAUUAAAAACAUUAGGCUGUGGACCUAAAAAUAGAAACUCGCCUCUUCUUAUAGACC